GCCACCAGGCCGUCAACGCUUCGGGGAUUACCGAGCUCAAGAUUUCCCGGUCGAAAUCAAACCAAUUAUGUGGCGGCGGAAAACGUUUAGAGGUUUUCAGUGCCAAUCCGAGAUUUGAAUAAAUUCGGUCUACAACCAGAAACACACAAACAGUUCGAAAAAAUAAUUUGAACUUACUGGGAAAUAUGCACUAUAAAAUAUAGAUUAACAUUGAGUUGAUAAUGCUGCACUGCUGCAAGAUAAACAGCGCUUGUCCGGUCAAAAAGUUAAAAAUAUAUCUUAUCUGACUCUACAUAAUAAUAUUGAUUGGAAGUGAAUCUAAUUUAACGAUUUUUUGGCGCUGAAACGAAUAAAAUCCUAUCAGACAUCUUCAAAGGAAAUAAUAGUCCUGGAAACUUUUGAACGAUUAAAAUUGUUUGCUAAUUAAAGAAACCAAAUUAUAGUAUACGAACAAGAUGAGAAUAGAGCAAUGUCAUGGCUUGGUUUGUUUUUCAAACAUAUAGUUGUAUGAGUGGUCAACGAAGCGGAAACGGCAACAGCAUAGAACAAAUUGAUGUCUGUUGACGGAAUCGUGCAUUUCAGCU